GUCGAGAAGUUGUAGAAAAAUCUCAAUUCUUUGGCUCUGCAAAGCCCUCUGUCCAUGGGGGCCAUGCACAAGGAAGGGAUAGCAGGAGGUUCUGGAAGUACCAAGAAAACCAAGAAUACAAAAAGCACUGAGUGUGAAGAGCAAGUGAACAAAUCAGUGGAGAUGCUGGUGUGCUAGUGCUGCUGGCAGGAUUUUACCAUUCCAAGGAGAGGCUGGUGGUUUGCUCCUUCAGGGUGGCUGCAAGUGAGAACUGAAACAUCGGAGGACGAACCUGCGGGUAGCCAAAGGACGUGGGCACUGGAACAAGUUCAAGAAGCAAAUCCAUGCCAGAAUUCCCAAACCUGGAAGAACUCCAUCAUCUAUCACCCCAGAGUGACUAAUAAACAAAAUAGGAACUGGUAAAAUUGCUGCACAGGCUGCAAGAAGCUGAGUGGGAGCCAUUAUGGGAGCAGUUAUGUGGGACCCAAAACAGCACCAUUUUUCCUCAGGAAGCAGCAGAACUGGGUGCAUAAAUGCAAUAAAUAAAUGCAUAAAUGCACAUGUGAAGCCAGUCAGAUGCAACUCUUGAAGAUACAAAGCCGCACAGAAGGAGUUCAGUGGAAAAACAAAGUAAAAAUUUGAGGAAAUCAUUCGGGUUGCAGCAAAGCUGAAGACAUCCUGUGGUCACAAAAGUAGGAAGCAGAUGAGUUGCUGAAAGCAAGAAGUUAUGCAUUAAAAACCUGGACAAUGCAGGAGCCUGACAAAAUAUCCAAAAAGCACAUGCUGCAUCUUAGGUGUCUUACAUAUGGUACAGCUGCUAAGAAAAAGAUUCAUCUGAAAUGUAUAAUUGCUGAACUGGUGUGUUGAAAAAAGUAUGAAAAUUGCUGGGAAAGAAAUAGAAUGGUGUGUUAGCAACAUCAUACUAUUAAAAAAAAAAAAAUCUGAAAUUUAAAAACCGAGUAAUGGGUUGCUUUUUCGAGAUAGACUAAGUUAGUUUCAAGUUAUAAAAUGAGAACCGCUUAACUUCUUUUCAUAAUUGCAAGACUAAAUUUCGCUCUGGGUGCAGAGUAGAAGUCCACAAUUGAUAAAAUCUCUAUUAAACCUACUGUUUUUUAUAAUGAAGAUGGUAGUUAAAUUAACUAAGGCAAUGCUUUUGGUGCUGCUCUGAGAACUCUUGAGCAUGGAACUAAUUUCAUCUCUCUCUAGCUGGAGAGGAGGUUAGUUUCCAAAGCAUAUGUUCAGCAUAGCUUGCCUAUUUAGACCUGCGAAUUUCGGAACCUACAAAGAACAGAGCAGAAAGGCUUGCCAGUGAGCAAAGGGCCAAACAGCACAGGCUUAUUAUUAUAACAGAAUUCCAAUAGACACUUUGUAAAGAAAAUUACUUAUCUGCCAUGUAGAAUUCUCCAGGGAGUCCACAGUCCCCUCGGGAAGGAGUUCCCACAAUGACUGCAAGAUC